CACGUAGGGGGCAAGCGUUGUCCGGAUUUAUUGGGCGUAAAGAGCUCGUAGGCGGCUUAGUAAGUCGGGUGUGAAACCUCCAGGCUCAACCUGGAGACGCCACCCGAUACUGCUGUGGCUAGAGUCCGGUAGGGGGAGCGUGGAAUUCCUGGUGUAGCGGUGAAAUGCGCAGAUAUCAGGAGGAACACCAGCGGCGAAGGCGGCGCUCUGGGCCGGUACUGACGCUGAGGAGCGAAAGCGUGGGGAGCAAACAGG
rnacentral:rRNA from 1 species